UUAUAGAAAGAUAUUAAACCCUAAAGGAUAAUAUAUAGAGAACCCAAGAGUUUAAAUCUAAACCAAUAAUUAAAUCACUUAACAUCCUUAAUCAAAACAAAUAAUUCAUUUUAAAACGUAUAUAAAACAAAGUAUACGUAAAUAGUAUAUUUACAAAUAGAAUAGUAUCUCUCAAAUUGCAACAACGAAACUCAAUUUCAUCACCAAGACACCAAGCGCAACAACGAAAGUCGAUUCCCUGAAUCCAAAUUGUGUUCCUCCCUCUGUAAUUCGAAACCCCCAAAUCAAAUCUCACCCAAAAGUAAUUAAGAGACUCUGAUUUGAAAACAAAAACAAGUAACGAGGUAGGUGUAAAGACUUUACUGGGAGAAAGAGAGAGGGAGAGGGAAAAAGAAAGAGAGAGAAAGAGAGAGGGGGAGAGAGAGAAAGAGGGAGGGAAGAUAGAAGGGAAGAGAGAGGUAGACGGAAAGAGAAAUGGAGAAAAAUAGAUAAAGGGGUAAACUUGGAAUUAAUAUACAAAAUAUAGAGGAUAUCAGUUCUUUUUCCUUUUGAUGUUAGUUUCUUAAUUAUAAACUUUUUGUUGGUUAGUUUUGCCAAUUCCCUUACUUACAACUGAUAACCGUAUAGCUCUUUUAUCAGAAAAAACUUUAUAUAUCUAAUCUCCCAAAAUAUACAAAUGUGAGAAAUAUCUGAAAAUAAAUCAAUUCUCACCAAUUAUAUAUAUUUGAUUACUUAAAAA
rnacentral:sRNA from 1 species